CGCAAGGGAGGCAGGCGCCGAGGUCGGGUUUGGUGACUGGGACGAAGUCGUAACAAGGUAGCUGUACCGGAAGGUGCGGCUGGAUCACCUCCUUUAUACGGAGCA
rnacentral:rRNA from 1 species